rnacentral:rRNA from 1 species
UCUACGGGAGGCAGCAGUGGGGAAUAUUGGACAAUGGGCGAAAGCCUGAUCCAGCCAUGCCGCGUGUGUGAAGAAGGCCUUCGGGUUGUAAAGCACUUUCAGUGGGGAAGAAAGCCUUGGGGCUAAUACCCUCGAGGAAGGACAUCACCCACAGAAGAAGCACCGGCUAACUCCGUGCCAGCAGCCGCGGUAAUACGGAGGGUGCGAGCGUUAAUCGGAAUUACUGGGCGUAAAGCGCGCGUAGGCGGUCUGAUAAGCCGGUUGUGAAAGCCCCGGGCUCAACCUGGGAACGGCAUCCGGAACUGGCAGGCUAGAGUGCAGGAGAGGAAGGUAGAAUUCCCGGUGUAGCGGUGAAAUGCGUAGAGAUCGGGAGGAAUACCAGUGGCGAAGGCGGCCUUCUGGACUGACACUGACGCUGAGGUGCGAAAGCGUGGGUAGCAAACAGGAUUAGAUACCCUAGUAGUC